UACCGGUACAGCUCACUGAAAAUCUGCUAUUUCGCAGAUCUUCAAGAUACACGCUGCUCUCAAGUUCCCACAAGGCCCGUUUGGCGUCCACUUCGCGCCAACGCGACCCGGACUUGUCCCGACACUCUCCAGAGCUGUCGACAAGCCUCAGCUAAAAUUCCAGGUCUCUACAAUAGGUCUUACCUGGGAGCCCGUGCCUUGGUUUGCACAUAUGGAGUUUUGUCCCACAUUGGAAACCAAAGGCAUUCUACUACACUUUAUAUACUCUCUUAC
rnacentral:lncRNA from 1 species